GUGCUUGCUACAGAAGCACACAUCCGAAGAUUGGAACAGUGUAGAGAAGAUUAGCCUGGCUCUUGUGCCAGGAUAACAGGCAAAUUUGUGAAACAUUCCAUAUUUUU